rnacentral:rRNA from 1 species
AUUGAACGCUGGCGGAAUGCUUUACACAUGCAAGUCGAACGGCAGCACGGACUUCGGUCUGGUGGCGAGUGGCGAACGGGUGAGUAAUAUAUCGGAACGUAUCCAAUAAUGGGGGAUAACUAGCCGAAAGGUUGGCUAAUACCGCAUACGCCCUACGGGGGAAAGCUGGGGAUCGCAAGACCUGGCGUUAAUGGAGCGGCCGAUAUCUGAUUAGCUAGUUGGUGGGGUAAAGGCCCACCAAGGCGACGAUCAGUAGCUGGUCUGAGAGGACGACCAGCCACACGGGAACUGAGACACGGUCCAGACUCCUACGGGAGGCAGCAGUGGGGAAUUUUGGACAAUGGGCGCAAGCCUGAUCCAGCCAUUCCGCGUGAGUGAAGAAGGCCUUCGGGUUGUAAAGCUCUUUCGCAAGGGAAGAAAACUUAUCCUCUAACAUAGGAUGAGGUUGACGGUACCUUGAUAAGAAGCACCGGCUAACUACGUGCCAGCAGCCGCCGUAA